GAGCGCACAGCUCCUCACCUGAGGGGCCCAGUCGCGUCGGGCCUCCCGAGGGGGCUGCGAGUGUCAGUCGGCUCUCCGCACGUGUCCGCGGCCUCGCGGAGCAGUCCACCCCUGGCUGGUUUCUGCUUCCACCUGCUGAUCUCACAGAGCUUGAUUUUGACACAAAGCAAGAUACUGAACAUUAACACCACCACAGAGGCCUACUAUGUGCUCCUGUCCCUGUUGUUACUUCCUCCAAAGCACUGCAAGCUAUUUGGCAUAUGAAGGUCUUGACCUGAGAAAACCAUCUUGGAUAACUGCAGCAAGGAAAAGGAAAAAUGCAACACCUAGGAGAUUUCAGUAAACAGUAGAAUCAUGCCAACCUAAUCUGUGUUAAAAUGCUUGGAAUGUGGGAGCCGCUGAUGAUGCCUCUUGUCUGUGUGUCUGACUGAAUCCUUUCUUUUCUCAGAGCAGCAAAGCAAAGCCUGGGAACCAGGCCAAAUGCCUGCCACUUACCUUAAAUUGAUCAGCCACUUUGAGAUUAAAACCCCUGAAAGCUGCCACACCGUGAAAACAAGGCCUCCUUCACAUUAAAGGCAAAUUGCGACUUUG
rnacentral:lncRNA from 1 species